UCUCUUUUAGUGCCUCUGUAGGAUGCUGUUUUCUUGUCCUGCUAUGGGUGUUUCAGUACCAACCUAACCUGCAGGUGGGCUGCCCAGUCUGACUUUAGAUGUGUUCUCCUGCUUUUUAUGGGUACAGAUGUUCUCUGGAGUACAAAUUGUACUUCUCCAGCAUGCUGAAGAGGCGUGUAGGAGAAAUAUCUCCUGGGAGUUGUGUAGAAAUGCUGAGCUGGAAGCUGUGAGCUGCUGCAAGUUCUCCUGCAUGCCUUGUUUGCAGUCUGGGAACUUCUGCUGUGCUGCUGGCACAGGGACUUACCACCAUGUGAUACUGCCUCAGAAUAUCUUCUGAAAGCACAGCUUUCUCCUCACCUGUUCUUGGAGUCUGUCAGGCACCUUGUCAUGGUGUAAGGUUGGCCCCAGAACACUUGCUCUUGUUUGGAGAAAUAAGCAGAACACCCUGCUCUCUGUAGUAUUGUCUUUGCCAUGAUUUCAGAUGGGUUGUUGUAUUCUAUCUCAUGCUACAGUAGAUAUUCACAGUGAUUUGCCAUAGAAUAAGAGGCAUCUUACCUCCAGAAAGUUCAGAGUAGUGCACAGAUCCUUCCUUGCUCUUAUUCUGAGCCUUGUUCUUUGGUGGGUGUUCUUCACCUUCCUGAUUUCUGAAGGAGAAGGCAAAAGUAUGAAAAUUGACUCCAAUCUUACUGCUGUGUGAUAUGAACAAAUUACUUCUCUUGGGAAUGUCUGCAGGUUGAUGUAGUGAAGAAUGACCUGUGAUAACAUGGGAGUAUAUAUUUGUAAGUCACACUAUGGACUUAACAAGAUUUAUGCUGCUUUAAACCUUGAGGAAUUCUGGUGGUUUCAUGGAAAAACUUGCCUGAGUUAAAUUUUAAGUUGUAGUCAGGUCUUAGAGAGAGUUGUCCCUGUUAGGCUACCUCUGAAAAUGCUCUCUAAGCUCUAACAUUAGGCAGGGGUAUUGAAAGAAACAUGGAGUAAAUAUAUUUAAUUAUCUUGGCAUGGUCCUGCUUCUGUGAAGGGAUCCAGGUCUCUCCAAACAAUUUGCCAUGUGUACAUGCUGAUCUAUGUCUGAGAUCUGCUCUAGAG
ensembl:lncRNA